rnacentral:rRNA from 1 species
CAGGGCGGGUGCUACCAUGCAAGUCGAACGUGAUCCGCCCUUCGGGGUGGUGAAAGUGGCGCACGGGUGAGUAACGCGUGGAUAAUCUGCCCGAGGAUUUGGGAUAACAUCUCGAAAGGGGUGCUAAUACCGAAUAAGCCCACGGGGUCUACGGAUCUUGCGGGAAAAGGGGGGGACCUUCGGGCCUCCUGUCCUUGGAUGAGUCUGCGUACCAUUAGCUAGUUGGUGGGGUAAUGGCCUACCAAGGCGACGAUGGUUAGCUGGUCUGAGAGGAUGAUCAGCCACACUGGAACUGAGACACGGUCCAGACUCCUACGGGAGGCAGCAGUGGGGAAUUUUGCGCAAUGGGGGAAACCCUGACGCAGCAACGCCGCGUGGGUGAUGAAGGCCUUCGGGUCGUAAAGCUCUGUCUGGAGGGAAGAAAUGAUUGGGAGCUAAUACCUCUUGAUCUUGACGGUACCUCUGAAGGAAGCACCGGCUAACUCCGUGCCAGCAGCCGCGGUAAUACGGAGGGUGCAAGCGUUGUUCGGAAUUAUUGGGCGUAAAGCGCGUGUAGGCGGUCUUUUAAGUCUGAUGUGAAAGCCCCGGGCUCAACCUGGGAAGUGCAUUGGAAACUGGGAGGCUUGAGUACGGGAGAGGAGAGUGGAAUUCCUAGUGUAGGAGUGAAAUCCGUAGAUAUUAGGAGGAACACCGGUGGCGAAGGCGGCUCUCUGGACCGAUACUGACGCUGAGACGCGAAAGCGUGGGUAGCAAACACGAUUAGAUACCCUGGUAGUCCACGCCGUAGACGAUGAGUACUAGUGUUGCGGGUAUUGACCCC